CUUCACCGAGCCGAGUCGCAACGGCUCCUCGCGGUUCUGCCCGUAGGUGGCGAGGAUCGCCUGCGCCUC
rnacentral:antisense_RNA from 1 species